GUGUCAGCAGCCGCGGUAAGACAGAGGUGCCAAGCGUUAGGCGGAAUCACUGGGCUUAAAGCGUGUGUAGGCGGAAUGGUAAGUACCUUGUGAAAUCCCACGGCUCAACCGUGGAACUGCUGGGUAUACUGCCUUUCUUGAGCCACUUAGGGGCUGUCGGAACAAACGGUGGAGCGGUGAAAUGCGUAGAUAUCGUUUGGAACGCCAAUGGUGAAAACAGACAGCUGGGAGUGUGCUGACGCUGAGACACGAAAGCCAGGGGAGCGAACGGGAUUAGAAACCCUUGUAGUCC
rnacentral:rRNA from 1 species